GACAGAGGGUGCAAACGUUGCUCGGAAUCACUGGGCGUAAAGGGUGCGUAGGCGGGUCUUUAAGUCAGGGGUGAAAUCCUGGAGCUCAACUCCAGAACUGCCUUUGAUACUGAAGAUCUUGAGUUCGGGAGAGGUGAGUGGAACUGCGAGUGUAGAGGUGAAAUUCGUAGAUAUUCGCAAGAACACCAGUGGCGAAGGCGGCUCACUGGCCCGAUACUGACGCUGAUGCACGAAAGCGUGGGGAGCAAACAGG
rnacentral:rRNA from 1 species